ensembl:lncRNA PCBP1-AS1 PCBP1 antisense RNA 1
GCGAGUUUUAUGACUUAAAAAAGCCCACAGGCUGGUCUGAAGGUCGGAGGCCUAAUUUUAACGCGUUUUCCUCCCUUUAAUUUGAAACGGGAACGCGAAUGACUGUAAAAUAGGAAGACAAACAUAAAGAUGAAGUGCUUAAUUCAAGGUCACACAAUGUCGGGGAUGGACCUCCAGAUUUCCUUACUGACCUGCAUUAUCUUGUGGAUACCUGAGUGAAUUCCACACCACCCAUUUUAUAGAUGAAACCACUGAGACAUGGAGCAAUUGACUGAGUAGUCACUGCCCCACCCCUGCCUGGAGCCUCACACAUGACUCGCCUCCUCUCAGUGACCACAGGUUGGUUGAGGGGUUUAACAAGGCUAAGAAGGUGAGACGUGGUCUUGUAACACAGUGGUUAAGAAUGUGACUUUGGAGCCAGCCUGCUAGGGGCUGAAUUCUGACUCAGCCAUUUACUAACUGUGUGACCUUAGGUGGAGUCUCACUCUGUAGCCCAAGCUGGAGUGGCGUGAUCUCGACUCACUGCAACCUCCGCCUCCUGGGAUCAAGUGAUUCUCGUGCCUCAGCCUCCUGAGUAGCCGGGACUACAGCCAGAGACAGACUCCCAGACUCGGCCAGAGGCUGAUGCCAACUCCUUCCAGCUCUCACGGUAACCAUGAGGCCCCUGCGUGUUUCUGUUGUGGAGGUCCCAGAGGGAACUGUAUGGACAGACACAGCCCGAAGGGCCAUCUGCCUCAAGCCACAGCAGCACAGAAUUCUAAAGAUUGUGGGGAAGGAUGGGGCCAAGGGGACCAGAUGUGCAGAGGUAAUGAAUACCAGGGAAUCAGGAAACCACUGGAUCAGUUCUUUGAGCCACAGAACAACACUCAUCCCAGCAGCUGGGAAGCUAUCUGCAAAAGUCCAUCUGCAGAAAGGGCUUCCU